AUGAAUUUACUACAAUGUAUUAUGACCAUCAUAAUAAUAUCAGCAUUUCUCUUAGGAAACUGUGCCAAUGUCUUCAUAAUUCUAGUGAACACCAUUAAUGGUAUCAAGAGAAGAAAGGUCUCCUCUGUUGAUAGAAUUAUAACUGCUCUUGCCAUCUCUAGAAUUGGCUUGCUCUUUGGGAUGUCAUUGAAUUGGCAUUCCACUGUGUUUACUGCAGAUGCAUACAAUGUACAAAUAAGAGCUUGUGGUCGCAUUAUCUGGACAGUAAACAACCAUUUUAGCAAUUGGCUUGGGACUAUGCUCAGUGUUUUUUAUUUGUUCAAAAUAGCCAAUUUUUCCAACCCUCUAUUUCUUCACUUAAAAAGAAAAAUUGAGAAUGUUCUUCUCGUGAUAUUUUGGGGGACUUUCUUGUCUUUGUUUUUUUAUCUUGGUGUGGUGAACAUCAAAAAGGUUGCUUGGGAGAGUGAUUACGAAGAAAAUGUGACUUUGAAGAACAAUCUGAAGGACAUCACAAGCAUUGCAAACAUACAUCUCUUCGGCCUUAUAAAUAUCAUACCAUUUUGUAUAUCACUAACAUGUGUUCUACUCUUAAUCUACUCCCUAGGCAAACAUCUCAGGAAUAUGAAAUGUCACGGCAAAGGAUGUCAAGAUCCCAGUACCGUGGUCCACAUAAAGGCAUUGCAAACUGUGGUCUCCUUUCUGUUGUUAUAUGCCACAUAUGCUCUCUGUGUAAUUAUAUCAUGUUGGAGUUUAUAUAAUUUAACAAUCUUUUUAUUUUGCAUUGCAGUUGGUGCUGUUUAUCCAACAGGUCAUUCUUUUAUCUUGAUCUGGGGAAACCAGAAGCUGAAACAGUUCCUUCUGUUGUUUCUGAAGCAGAUGAGAUGCUGACUGGAAAAAUGGAAACCUUCACUUCUACAGAUAAAUAUCAGAGAUUUGGAGAAACUAUCACAACAAACUUCCUGAUCCUCUGGCUCUUACAACCUUUCCUUCUCAUCUUCAACAUUUAUCCCUGAACCUCAGGUGCAGGAGGCUGUAUAACUGUGCACAUGGAGUUGGCAAUGAGUACUUUUCCCUUGUAUCAGAAAAUACACUAUGGAUGAAGACUACUCACCCCAUCUGUGAGGAUAUCAGCAUCUCCAUUCACCCUUGAAGACUAGUUAAGUUGAGCAAUACAAGAUGACCCUAUUAAGACAACUAAGAAAUGGGUGGUGUUCUGCAUCCACAGUAGCAGCAAAGCCACUGAAUGAAAAGGACAGAUGACUUCUGGAUCAUGACUGUGGGUUACUGACAGCUAGAUAAUGGACUGUGCUCCAUCCAUACAGCUAUAUCCACCCUGACAAAGCAGUUACUACAAGGGAUGAGAUCUUACCAUGUUCACUGAUCCUUGUUUGAAUUUGUUUUUAGUUUCUCCUCUGCUAUUCAAGACAAACUUGUGCUCACUUGAAGCUACAAUGACAUUUGGUAAUCCUGCCUACUUUCUGAGAAAUGGUUUCAUUGCAAAAUAAAAAUCUUUGGGCCAGGCAGUGGUGGAACAUGCCUUCAAUCCCAGCACUUGGGAGGCAGAGGCAGGCAUAUCUCUGUGAGUUUGAGGCCACCAUGGUCUACAGAGCAAGUUUCAGGAUAGGCUCUAAAGCUAUACAGAGAAACCCUGUCUCAAACUAAACAACCCAAAAAGAACAACAUACUAAUCCUUGUUUGUCUUACAGAUUUAUAAAAGCUUGUAGAUCACAAUGGA